rnacentral:rRNA from 1 species
GCCUAGCCCUUAACACAGAUAAUACUAACACAACAUUAUCCGCCAGAAAACUACUAGCGAAAAGCCUAAAACUCCAAGGACUUGGCGGUGCUUCAUACCAACCUAGAGGAGCCUGUCCUAUAAUCGAUACCCCACGCUCUACCCAACCACCUUUAGCCCCAACAGUUUAUAUACCGCCGUCGCAAGGCCCACCUUAUGAGAGAGCCAAAGUGGGCACAACAGUUAAUAACUAACACGUCAGGUCAAGGCGUAGCAUACAAGGUGGAAGAGAUGGGCUACAUUUUCUAAACAAAAACACGAACAGCACAAUGAAACACGUACUUGAAGGUGGAUUUAGAAGUAAGAUAAACAAGAAAAGUUAUCUUAAACCUGCUCUGAAGCGCGC